rnacentral:tRNA from 2 species
AAAAAGAUAAGCUAAUUAAGCUAGUGGGUUCAUACCCCAUUUAUAAAGGUUCUAAUCCUUUUCUUUUUA